AUGGAGUUUAAUAUCUGGAGAUUGAGUACAUAUUUCAUCAUCAUGUCCUGCGCAUUGGUGAUAGAUGUUGUUACUUCAGGAGAAACCAUGACUUGCAAUCUUGGCAAUGAACAAAAAGUGUGGACCACCCCUUCAAUACCUUACGGAAAAAUUGCCAUAAAUGCUACUUGUAUAAUAUCUCAAGAAAAGAAUAAAAGAGUUAUCUACAAUGUGUCUUGUUACAAGCAAAAUAAAAAACCCAUUUGUUGUGACACACUAUGUGAGGUGUGCAAUCUCACUAUGCUCAAUGCAACAUGCAAAAUGGCAGGAGGAAAAAUUGAUGUGUGCAGUUUUGGUGUUGGUGACAGUCCAAUGCUUGGGUUGUGUUUUAAAAAUUCUUGUAAACAGCCUAAUGGCAAACCUUGUGAUUUCGAAGAUGGUGAUAAGUGCUAUAUCAAUUUAGGGGCAACGGAUGAAAAAAUACAAAAGCAAAAGCAAGUAUCCAGUGUGAGCAAACAUCCAAGAACUGACAAGCGAGAUGUGACAGCACCGCUAUUACCCACAAAACCACACAACCAAACUGGAUUGGAUUUAAGUUGCAGUUCUGGUACUAUUGCCUUAUACUUAUUCAUUGGUUUUAUCAUUGGCAUUAUCGCUGUUGUUGGUACUAUUGGCUUCUUAUGCAUCUAUCAUAAUAAGAUGGACACAGUGUUGCCUUGCUAAUUGUGUGAUUUAAUUUUUAGUGCAUCAUAUGCAAUUCAAUUGCUGGUAAGCACCUCUAUCCUAAACUUGACUUCUAUAAUUGUUGGGAAAUAAUAACAUGACAUUAAAAACAAAAUGUGUAAACUGAAACAAACAUUAUUUUCUGUCAUUACCUUUGCAUACCUGCAAACUCUGGACCAGUGAAAAACAUAACCUGGGCUAAUAAAAUUGUAUUUUUAUAGAUACA
ensembl:lncRNA